CUACGGGAGGCAGCAGUGGGGAAUUUUCCGCAAUGGGCGCAAGCCUGACGGAGCAACGCCGCGUGGGUGAUGAAGUCUUUCGGGACGUAAAGCCCUUUCAGCUGGGAAGAAGUCAGUGACGGUACCAGCAGAAGAAGCACCGGCUAACUACGUGCCAGCAGCCGCGGUAAGACGUAGGGUGCAAGCGUUGUCCGGAUUUAUUGGGCGUAAAGCGUACGUAGGCGGUCCCUUAAGUCGGGGGUUAAAGACCGGGGCUCAACCCCGGGAAUGCCCUCGAUACUGGGGGACUGGAGGGUGGUAGAGGAAGUCGGAAUUCCCAGUGUAGCGGUGAAAUGCGUAGAUAUUGGGAGGAACACCAGUGGCGAAAGCGGACUUCUGGACCAUUCCUGACGCUGAGGUACGAAAGCCAGGGGAGCAAACGGGAUUAGAUACCCCCGUAGUC
rnacentral:rRNA from 1 species